CCUGGGUCCACCUUCUCCCUCCUCAUAAGCUGAAGAGAACUCUGAUCUCACGAGGACAGAAGUCCCAGGGGGCUGGGAGGGUAGCCCCUAAGCGGGAGUGCGAGAAAGUACAUGAAGGAAGACCUGGAGACCCUGCUGGCCCUGGAAAGAGCAAAAAUAAUUGCCCAGUAUGAUCAGGGACGCCAAGCAGGGGUUCCAGUGGAUCCUCAGGAAGACCCUGAGCUCCCCCUUUUCAAGGUCACUGACCGCCUCGGUUUCCUGCAGUGAGUUACCUGGACGCCCGUUCUUUUCAUCUCAGGGAUGGUUUCUGUUGGUGGAAACCCCUCUCUGGAGGCAGGACCCAUCUCCCCAGCUCAGAGCCUCGUCCCCUGGUGCCCACUGCAGUCCAGGGUCUACGGUUGGCUCCAGCUGAGAGA